UACGGAGGAUGCAAGCGUUAUCCGGAUUCACUGGGCGUAAAGCGCAUGUAGGCGGCUGGACAAGUCGUGUGUUAAAGCCCCUGGCUCAACUGGGGGAGGUCAUGCGAGACUGUACGGCUGGAGGGCAACAGAGGCACGUGGAACUCCCGGUGUAGCGGUGGAAUGCGUAGAUAUCGGGAGGAACACCAGUGGCGAAGGCGACUACCUGGCCUGUUUCUUGACGCUGAGGCGCGAAAGCUAGGGGAGCAAACGGG
rnacentral:rRNA from 1 species